rnacentral:tRNA from 1 species
GGUUGUGGCUCAGCGGUAGACCACGUGCCUAGCACAUGCGAGGCCCUGGGUUCAAUCCUCAGCACCA